CGCGUAGGCGGAUUAGUCAGUCAGGGGUGAAAUCCCGGGGCUCAACCCCGGAACUGCCUUUGAUACUGCUAAUCUUGAGUUCGAGAGAGGUGAGUGGAAUUCCGAGUGUAGAGGUGAAAUUCGUAGAUAUUCGGAGGAACACCAGUGGCGAAGGCGGCUCACUGGCUCGAUACUGACGCUGAGGUGCGAAAGCGUGGGGAGCAAACA
rnacentral:rRNA from 1 species